CCCAGACAGAGAUCACCUGGGAGGGAUGCUCUUACGGGCAGAAGGGUGCUACAAGUCAUCUUCGCUAUCCCUGGAAGAACUGUUCACUGCCUGGCCCGUGUGAAAUAGUCUCCAGCAGAAAGGGGAAAACUUCGGCUGUUCUUCCUCCUGCUCCUCUGUCUGGAACAUCACCAUCUUGGCCUCCAUCCCUGGGAUGUUUCCCUGCUCAGUUCAAACAGAUCUCCUGGACCUCUGGCUGGCCUAAGAUGGUGAAAACCAGCAUGUCCCAUACACUCCAGUGCCCCAGCCUGAACAAACAUCAUGUGCAACACUACAAGUCUCUCCUAACUCAGGGCUUUCAAGAGGCACUAAGACAAACCCUUCCCUGGAGAGGAACGUGGACAAU